GGCACUUUGGCGGAGUGGUUAACGCGCUGCCCUGCUAUUCCUUAAUUGGAGAGUGGAUAAGGCAGUUCCUUCGGGAGCGAGUGUUCGAAUCACUCAGGUGUCG